GAUGAACGCUGGCGGCGUGCCUAAUACAUGCAAGUCGAGCGAACGGACGAGAAGCUUGCUUCUCUGAUGUUAGCGGCGGACGGGUGAGUAACACGUGGAUAACCUACCUAUAAGACUGGGAUAACUUCGGGAAACCGGAGCUAAUACCGGAUAAUAUUUUGAACCGCAUGGUUCAAAAGUGAAAGACGGUCUUGCUGUCACUUAUAGAUGGAUCCGCGCUGCAUUAGCUAGUUGGUAAGGUAACGGCUUACCAAGGCAACGAUGCAUAGCCGACCUGAGAGGGUGAUCGGCCACACUGGAACUGAGACACGGUCCAGACUCCUACGGAAGGCAGCAGGAGGGAAUCUGCCGCAAUGGGCGAAAGCCUGACGGAGCAACGCCGCGGGAGUGAUGAAGGUCUUCGGAUCGUAAAACUCUGUUAUGAGGGAAGAACAUAUGUGUAAGUAACUGUGCACAUCUUGACGGUACCUAAUCAGAAAGCCACGGCUAACUACGU
rnacentral:rRNA from 1 species